rnacentral:rRNA from 1 species
UACGGAGGGUGCAAGCGUUAUCCGGAUUCACUGGGUUUAAAGGGUGCGUAGGUGGGCAGGUAAGUCAGUGGUGAAAUCUCCGGGCUUAACCCGGAAACUGCCAUUGAUACUAUCUGUCUUGAAUACCGUGGAGGUGAGCGGAAUAUGUCAUGUAGCGGUGAAAUGCUUAGAUAUGACAUAGAACACCAAUUGCGAAGGCAGCUUACUACGCCUAUAUUGACGCUGAGGCACGAAAGCGUGGGGAUCAAACAGG